CGUAGGUGGCAAGCGUUGUCCGGAAUUAUUGGGCGUAAAGGGAGCGCAGGUGGGAAUGUAAGUCAAUCUUAAAAGUGCGGGGCUCAACCCCGUGAUGGGAUAGAAACUACAUUUCUUGAGUGCAGGAGAGGAAAGUGGAAUUCCUAGUGUAGCGGUGAAAUGCGUAGAUAUUAGGAGGAACACCAGUGGCGAAGGCGACUUUCUGGACUGUUACUGACACUGAGGCUCGAAAGCUAGGGGAGCGAACGGGAUUAGAUACCCCGGUAGUCCUAGCCGUAAACGAUGGGUACUAGGUGUAGAGGGUAUCGACCCCUUCUGUGCCGGAGUUAACGCAAUAAGUACCCCGCCUGGGGAGUACGGCCGCAAGGUUG
rnacentral:rRNA from 1 species